rnacentral:rRNA from 1 species
UACAGAGACUGCAAGCGUUAUUCGGAUUCACUGGGCGUAAAGGGUGCGCAGGCGGCCAAGUGUGUGAGGUGUGAAAGCCCGGGGCUUAACCCCGGAAUUGCGCCUCAAACUACAUGGCUAGAGCAUUGGAGAGGGUAGCAGAAUUCAUGGUGUAGCAGUGAAAUGCGUAGAUAUCAUGAGGAAUACCAGAGGCGAAGGCGGCUACCUGGACAAUUGCUGACGCUCAGGCACGAAAGCGUGGGGAGCAAAAGGG